rnacentral:rRNA from 1 species
UACGGGGGGGGGCAAGCGUUGUUCGGAAUUACUGGGCGUAAAGGGCUCGUAGGCGGCCAACUAAGUCGGACGUGAAAACCUGCAGCUUAACUGUGGGCUUGCGGUCGAUACGGGCAUCACUGGAGUUCGGCAGGGGAGACUGGAAUUCCUGGUGUAGCGGUGAAAUGCGCAGAUAUCAGGAGGAACACCGGUGGCGAAGGCGGGUCUCUGGGCCGAUACUGACGCUGAGGAGCGAAAGCGUGGGGAGCGAACAGG